ensembl:lncRNA
CUCAGUACUUGUAGCCUUUCAAAGAGAGUAUCAGUAGUUACUUCAUUGCGUACCUUCAGAAAAGUAGAUUAAAUCAGUUUAAUAUAAUUUUGCUGCUUGACCAAGCUCGCUUGAACCGUUCUGUAAUAAAGCAACAGCAGAGACGUUUUUCAUAAGCUGCUAUGCAUGUAGGCUAUAUUGUGGCGGUUUUAAGCUAGAGGUGGAAAGUAACAAAGUACAAAUACUUCAAGACAAAAGAGUGUGAGACAAACUUCACUCAGAGAUGAAGGGAGGUGUAGGAUGACAGAGAGGCCACGAGAGAAAGAAGAGAGGUUAGAUUAAAAGGACUGGAUUUAUUGGCUAGUCGAUACCACAAAAACCAAAUCCUGCCACAGUAAUCUGAUCGAUGUCGGAGCAGCCAUAUGUCAAAGCAGCUUAUGAUUAGCUGUCACUGUAUGAAACCCUUGGCACAAGCCUGCGGAUUUUUCUGAGGUUUGACUCUGCUGAGAUUUCCCUUAUAUACUUGGGUAAGUUUAAUUUUUAUUUUAUUUUUGGGGGGUUAGUAUAUUCAGGUAACUUAGACUACAUAGGGCAAGAGACAAAUUAAGCUCAUUCUAUUAUUUUCCUAAUGCAUAUGCAUAUCACAAAACUGCUGCUACUGUGAAGGAUUUUCACCAUGGUAAGGAUGUUGUGAAAACCUGCUGUUGUGACAGGCCUAAUGUCCAUCACACAUCUUCAAGAGAAAAUUGAAACCACCCUUGCACUUGCCUCUGUAACUGGACAGAAUUCCCUUUUUGGCUUAUGAUGUGACUGUUAAAGGUUUAUAGUUUCCUCUUUGUAUUGGGCGGGUCAUGGCUGUUAGUUUUACGAAGGGAAAAUGUCCUUAGAAAAUGUGUGCAGUGGCCACGGGUUUUUCUCUUGUUAAGGCCGCAUACUUAAUUUAGUUUUUCUACAGGUAUCCUAAGACAGUACUCAGUAGUAAGAGACAAGACAAUAGGUGCAGUUUACUGGCUUAUGGUUAACAGGAAGAAUUUUCCGUGUUUCUGUCCUGUGUGCAGAUUCUUGCCUUGCAUCUGCC